AUUUUCUUACAAAGUUGUACUGCGCAAUAUACAGUAAGUGACACACUCUGGACAAAAGAAAACACUUCAUGCUGUACUGUUCUAGAAAACUGAGCAAUGGCAGAAUGGUGUGGUGCGACGAAGCAGGCUUAUUGUUACCACCCUGAGCUAAAAACAGCCCUUGUGUCAGAGAAGCUCUCUGGAUGUUACAAAGCGCGGACACUGGAGACUCCUUCCAUUAAUGUCGGACGUCUCCGCACAGACACGGCCACCACAUCAACAAUUGAACACUUUUUAAUUAAGUGCUUGCAGAUUACAGCUAGAACGAUCGUCUAAGCUGUGGAUCAACACGUACUGACCAAUCAGAAGCGAGAAAACAACAGCGUCUGUAAUAUAAUUACACAUAAGGAUAGCUAUGUGAUAUUUACAUGUUAUGUUUAGUGAUCUCGAGCAUGUACACAGGAUAAAGCGGUAUAGACGAUGAGAGUAACUCCCCCUUAUUCGAUUUUCUCAAUAUAAAAUGUACUAAUGAGUCUGAUUUCUAAUGAAACACUAGCAUUCGCAGAACUUGAGCAGGUUAGACGGGGCAGCGGUGCACAUCACGUCAUUAUGUUAUGGUGCCCUCUAUGGGUGAUUGGACCCAUUGGAACUGCAGCCAUUUAAAAUGAUGUGAACUAAACAAGCGGACUAAUUUAUAGAGAAACACAAAAUGAUAAUGUCUAAAUAAUUGGAUUUAUAUUUUUCAUUUUAUGUUUAUUUUUGCUGCGAGAUUUGGAAAUGAUUAUGUUAAUGUACACUGUACUGAUAAACCUCACGUAAAAGGAGCCAUUCUACAUUAUUUGGGAAUCUCCAAAGGUGCACGUUACAUUAAUUUGUCUAUGAGGUGGACGUUAUGGUGGCUGUUUAGACAUAAAGCCCAGGAUGAAGUCCAAGAGCUAAAACUUGUUUAAACUAAUUAUUAAAAAGUACAAAACCCCUAAUUUUAUGCUUUAGUUCAGUUAACGUUACGUGCUAUUGAAUACACUUCAAUGAUUUGUGCGCCUUUUUUGAUUCCCGGCUCGAUGCGCAUGGAGUUUGAAUGUUCUCCCCGUGCUUGGUGGGUUUCCUCCGGGUUCUCCGGUUUCCUCCCACAGUUUAAAGACCCCUCUGUACCUGGUAUACAGGAUAGAGCAGUAUAGAAGACAACCAACAAUAAUCUAUAAUAGACCCGUUAUACUAUAAUAUACAAAGGUUUCUUCAGAUGUUCCUCCCAAUAUAUGCUGGGGAACAUGAUGGAGAGAAAAGUAGAUUUUUUUAAAAAUUUUUUACUGUUGCCAUGUAGAGACCUGAAGGUGUAACGUCUGUACGCGGCAGUACUUUAAUGAAGGAAGUAAUUGUAGCAGGUACGAGGAAAAGCACUUAAUUACAGUAGAGUUUCUGUGUGCAAUUACAUGUACAGUACUAAUGAUGGACAGCCUAAUGAUUCAUAAAUGAUUUAUAAUCCCUUAUCAAAUGUAUCAAUCCUCAAACACUGAUACUGUAGAUAUAUUUUAUUUCCCACACAAUCAGUACACUUGUCUGUGUCUCUCCUCCUUUCAGACAACAAGACGAGACUUUACAGAAUUCAUGCCAUGCUUCAUCAUCAGACUUUUAUUUCCUGCAGUUUCUAUGCGUCUUAAUUUAUUGUUUUUUAAAAUUUUUUAGACAGACUGGAUAUUGGGUGAAAAAUAUGAGCCUUUUGUUUUAUCUGAAGUGUUUAUAUACAGUAUGUGAGUAUGAGUAUGAAACUGCAUUAGUGUUUCGCUCCAUUGUCUCAUGAAGGAGAGAAAGGGAGAAAUAAAGAUGUGAACCAGACCAUUUUUACAUUUUAACCUUUACAGUGUGUGUAGAUCAAUAAUAACCAAAUGCAUGUAUGAAAACUCAGAGGAAACAAUCACAAGUGUUCGAGCCGGACGUUACUGAAAGAACCAAAUGAUGCUUCGUCCUGAGACUCGAUGCCUUGCUGUUGUAAAUGAUUUGAACUGAAAUGUUUAAAAUGACGCAGACAGAAAUACAGUAGCACUAGAUAUGACGAGUGGUUCAACGAACUACGACUUAUUACGAUUUAUUUCUUUAAGCGGCUGAUGGCUCGGUCUCAGGAUUUCGCUCCUGGAAGAAGCUUUCACUGCGUGAUUUUACUUCUGCUACAAAAUUAAAACAAUUGUGUUGACAGAUCUUUGCAGUCGUGAUGAUAAUGACAGAACCUUUGUGGUAAAUCAUCAGCCCUGUGUGUUCAUACCAUUUUUGUUGACUUCUUGCAUUUUGGACAAGAAGCCUGUAAGUUCCAAUGUCACCUCUGAGCGACUGUUUAUUCCCCGUCUCUGUGCAGGGAUCAGAUUACAGAUAAAUCAGCCAAAUAAUUUAAUUAAUAAAUAAAUGUAAAUGUUCUCAGCCAAAGCACCAUUUUGUGUGAAUAUGCUUUUUUUAAUUAUUAUUUUUAUACAUGAAAUGAAAUCAUAAGCCAUACAGUAUGUAAAAUUAUUCAGUACUAUUUUUUUGGACAGCCUCAGAUGCAGAUUGAGCCAAGUCUUAGAUUAUUUCAUUUCUAUAGACAAUAAUUGACUUAGCCUCUCAUAUUUACCCCCAUAUAAUAUAUUUUUUAAUUUAUUUAUAUUAUACUUUAUUCUUGAUUUGAAUCUUUUUUUUUUCUAAUGAAAGACAUUUUUGCACAGAUGAAAUAUGACAACGAUUCAAAGCAAAUCUUCCAUUGAUGGGUGUGUAUGUGUAAAACAGAAAUGUUCUUAGAUGUUAAAAAAAUGUGAAAUGUUUCCCAAAUAAACCUCUAAUGAUGAUGCAUCAGUAAUAAUAUAUUUACAUACUAAUGUUUCUAUAACACAACGAGUUUCCCUUAAAUGACUCUCAUGGCCUGAAGGUUAUGGUAAACAUAAUUCGUUUUAUAUACAGUAGAUUGGUUUUUAUAAAAUGAAUUACAUGAAAUGUCAAGCUUGUAUUAUUUUUUUAGUUGAUUUAUGGACACGGGGAUGAAAUUUAAAUUAAAAUAUUCUAAUUAAA